rnacentral:rRNA from 1 species
GACGAACGCUGGCGGCGUGCUUAACACAUGCAAGUCGAACGGAAAGGCCCUGCUUUUGUGGGGUGCUCGAGUGGCGAACGGGUGGGUAACACGUGAGUAACCUGCCCUUGACUUUGGGAUAACUUCAGGAAACUGGGGCUAAUACCGGAUAGGAGCUCCUGCUGCAUGGUGGGGGUUGGAAAGUUUCGGCGGUUGGGGAUGGACUCGCGGCUUAUCAGCUUGUUGGUGGGGUAGUGGCUUACCAAGGCUUUGACGGGUAGCCGGCCUGAGAGGGUGACCGGCCACAUUGGGACUGAGAUACGGCCCAGACUCCUACGAGAGGCAGCAGUGGGGAAUAUUGCACAAUGGGCGGAAGCCUGAUGCAGCAACGCCGCGUGCGGGAUGACGGCCUUCGGGUUGUAAACCGCUUUCGCCUGUGACGAAGCGUGAGUGACGGUAAUGGGUAAAGAAGCACCGGCUAACUACGUGCCAGCAGCCGCGGUGAUACGUAGGGUGCGAGCGUUGUCCGGAUUUAUUGGGCGUAAAGGGCUCGUAGGUGGUUGAUCGCGUCGGAAGUGUAAUCUUGGGGCUUAACCCUGAGCGUGCUUUCGAUACGGGUUGACUUGAGGAAGGUAGGGGAGAAUGGAAUUCCUGGUGGAGCGGUGGAAUGCGCAGAUAUCAGGAGGAACACCAGUGGCGAAGGCGGUUCUCUGGGCCUUUCCUGACGCUGAGGAGCGAAAGCGUGGGGAGCGAACAGGCUUAGAUACCCUGGUAGUCCACGCUGUAAACGGUGGGUACUAGGUGUGGGGUCCAUUCCACGGGUUCCGUGCCGUAGCUAACGCUUUAAGUACCCCGCCUGGGGAGUACGGCCGCAAGGCUAAAACUCAAAGGAAUUGACGGGGCCCCGCACAAGCGGCGGAGCAUGCGGAUUAAUUCGAUGCAACGCGUAGAACCUUACCUGGGUUUGACAUGGAUCGGGAGUGCUCAGAGAUGGGUGUGCCUCUUUUGGGGUCGGUUCACAGGUGGUGCAUGGCUGUCGUCAGCUCGUGUCGUGAGAUGUUGGGUUAAGUCCCGCAACGAGCGCAACCCUUGUUCACUGUUGCCAGCACGUUAUGGUGGGGACUCAGUGGAGACCGCCGGGGUCAACUCGGAGGAAGGUGGGGAUGACGUCAAGUCAUCAUGCCCCUUAUGUCCAGGGCUUCACGCAUGCUACAAUGGCUGGUACAGAGAGUGGCGAGCCUGUGAGGGUGAGCGAAUCUCGGAAAGCCGGUCUCAGUUCGGAUUGGGGUCUGCAACUCGACCUCAUGAAGUCGGAGUCGCUAGUAAUCGCAGAUCAGCAACGCUGCGGUGAAUACGUUCCCGGGGCU